rnacentral:rRNA from 12 species
AGAGUUUGAUCCUGGCUCAGGAUGAACGCUGGCGGCGUGCUUAACACAUGCAAGUCGAGCGAUGAAGUUUCCUUCGGGAAACGGAUUAGCGGCGGACGGGUGAGUAACACGUGGGUAACCUGCCUCAUAGAGUGGAAUAGCCUUCCGAAAGGAAGAUUAAUACCGCAUAAUGUUGAAAGAUGGCAUCAUCAUUCAACCAAAGGAGCAAUCCGCUAUGAGAUGGACCCGCGGCGCAUUAGCUAGUUGGUGGGGUAACGGCCUACCAAGGCGACGAUGCGUAGCCGACCUGAGAGGGUGAUCGGCCACAUUGGGACUGAGACACGGCCCAGACUCCUACGGGAGGCAGCAGUGGGGAAUAUUGCACAAUGGGGGAAACCCUGAUGCAGCAACGCCGCGUGAGUGAUGAAGGUUUUCGGAUCGUAAAGCUCUGUCUUUGGGGAAGAUAAUGACGGUACCCAAGGAGGAAGCCACGGCUAACUACGUGCCAGCAGCCGCGGU